rnacentral:rRNA from 1 species
CUACGGGGGGCAGCAGCGGGGAAUAUUGCACAAUGGAGGAAACUCUGAUGCAGCCAUGCCGCGUGUGUGAAGAAGGCCCGAGGGUUGUAAAGCACUUUCGAUUGGGAGGAAGGUUAUGUAGCUAAUACCUGCAUAAUUUGACGUUACCUUUAGAAGAAGCACCGGCUAACUCUGUGCCAGCAGCCGCGGUAAUACAGAGGGUGCAAGCGUUAUUCGGAAUUACUGGGCGUAAAGCGCGCGUAGGCGGAUUGUUAAGUCAGAUGUGAAAGCCCUGGGCUCAACCUGGGAACGGCAUUUGAUACCGGCAGUCUAGAGUUUAAGAGAGGGAAGGGGAAUUUCUAGUGUAGCAGUGAAAUGCGUAGAUAUUAGAAGGAACAUCAGUGGCGAAGGCGCCUUCCUGGCUUAAAACUGACGCUGAGGUGCGAAAGCGUGGGUAGCGAACGGGAUUAGAUACCCUAGUAGUC